rnacentral:lncRNA from 1 species
CCAACAUUCAACAUUUUAGAGACAAAUUUUAGAGGGAUUUUGAAAAGCAAAAGUAAUUCUAGCGAAUUUUUGAGAUUUUCAAUCAAAGCUUCUUUGUAAGCAAACUUCUGCUUAGGUACUUUUCUCAACGUUGCUCUCAUUCUUCAUCUUUUCAUUUCCUUUUUUCCUUCAAAAAUACCUUUCUCUGCUGAAAGGGCCAAAAAAAAAAGAAAUCAACAAAGCCUUCGGUUUGCCCACAAACCAAGAGGCUACCGGGCUAGUAAAAAAUAGGUUAGAUGCCCCAUAUGUGAUUUCUAAGGUUGAGAUGACUGAAGUGAUUAGGUCCUAUGAUCAUUUUUGGCAAGAGUAAUGCUACUUGCACACAAUGAUGUACAAAUUUAUUUACAAAUCAUGACGUGGAUAGUAUUAGUUGACUUCAUUUCAUUUUGUUACAUAUUAUUUUUCUCUUUUUCUUUCUUCAUUAAUAUGUAAACCAAUACAUACACAAUUAUGUACAAAUAGUAUUAUCUUUUGGCAAUA